GAUUUACAGCAGCCGAGGCUCUAGCCCAAUGGUUCUCAAACUUUUGUCCUGGUGACCCUUUCACACAGCGAGCCUCUGAGUGUGAC